rnacentral:rRNA from 1 species
AUUGAACGCUGGCGGCAUGCCUAACACAUGCAAGUCGAGCGGAUGAAGGGAGCUUGCUCCUGGAUUCAGCGUCGGACGGGUGAGUAAUGCCUAGGAAUCUGCCUCGUAGUGGUGGAUAACGCCCGCAGACGGGCGCUAAUACCGCAUACGUCCUGAGGGAGCAAGUGGGGGGUCUUCGGACCUCACGCCCUCAUGUGAGCCUAGGUCGGAUUAGCUAGUUGGUGGGGUAAAGGCCUACUAAGGCGACGAUCCGUAACUGGUCUGAGAGGAUGAUCAGUCACACUGGAACUGAGACACGGUCCAGACGACUACGGGAGGCAGCAGUGGGGAAUAUUGGACAAUGGGCGAAAGCAUGAUCCAGCCAUGCCGCGUGUGUGAAGAAGGUCUUCGGAUUGUAAAGAAGUUUAAGUUGGGAGGAAGGGCAGUAAGUUAAUACCUUGCUGUUUUGACGUUAACAACAGAAUAAGCACCGGCUAACUUCGUG